AGGCAGGGAUGGGGGAAAAGCUCUUUGAAAGCCUUUUUCCCCAGGUCCGCCUGGGUCCGGGCGCGGGGUCUCUGCGCGGGCACCGUGCGGAGCUCUCUCGGUAACCGCUGCUUUCGUUUCCUUCUCUUGCGUCCCCUCGUAACUUUUUGUCUUUCGGGAACUGUUCCCCCUUUCCAUCACGAAACUUAGUGUUGCAGAUGUCAGUUCAGAGCCUUCGAUGCUUCUUUAUCAGUUUAUCUCUAUUAAGGGAAAAGGGUAUAAAAUCCCUAGAUUUUGAGCCAUUAAAGAUUUUGUGGAAAGAAUUGUCAUUUUUAUGAAUUUUAAAGAAAAAAAAGGAAAAUCACUUCAAUGUGUCUGUGGAAUCAGCACCAACUUACUCUUUGACUCAGUCUUGGAAGUUUUCUUGACAGAAAUAAUCACUUACUUACUCAUAAACCUUACAAGAUAAGGCCUAUGGAAAAAUGCAUGUAGACCUCUCUUGCUUGAUACACAGCCUCUUACAGAGUGAGUACUUUGAGUCUUCAAUAAUAAUCAGAAAACUAACCCAGUGUUAAUAGUUGUUCCCACUGUUUUUAUAAUUUAUUAAGAAUUAGGAAUGGUGAAAGGAUGAAAGACCUUUCAGCUGGCUUCAAUCUCUCAGGAUAGUGACAGUGAUUGAGUUGAAGCUUCUGUUUAAGUGUGUUGCUGGAAGCAGGGUCAUGAAAUGCUUUAAAUAAAAAAAAAAAAUCCCAAGAUUUAAAUAUUGCAAUUUGAUACAUGCUCUGGCAGGGAUCUAGGUCAGAAUUUACGACAAGGGAUGUGUUGUUUGUAUGCGUGAUCGGGGACACAAUCCAACAGGCAAAUUUUGAGCUGAUAUUUAUUUGUAAUAGGUCAGUAAUGCCAGAAUUGCAGUGAUUUACAUAGAAAUACAGUGAGUCUUGUUCACCAUCUCUGUGUGAUGUGAAACUAAAUAAAUAGUUCUGCUGAUAGCCCUGAGAUUGAAGUUUGCUCAGGCUGAAUAAGUUAGGGCAAUCCUGGUGUAGAGCAGUGCUUUACACUCAUCUCUGCAGAGAGAAGCUUGUUGCGUUACUCCCUGCACAAUUACCAGAGGCACUGGGUAAGAUGUGACUGGUCCACUCUGGUGCCCGAGAUCUUUGGAAAACACAAGGAACUGGAAUGCCAGAACUUCCAUCUGAGUUGAGAUAAACCCAGUGUAGCUGACCACAGCUCUUUGCUCACUGCUCCCAUUCUGAUGGAGAGAGUGAUUUAUACCAAGCUACUUUUGAACAUACAUGGAAUUCUGAGCAUUGAUUAAUGAUGUGCCAAAGAGAUACAGCAGCACAAAACCAGCCAAAAACGUCCUGGCUGUGGGGUGUGUUGUGUUGCUUGCAGGAGCCAGCCCCAGAGGGAUGUGCAACAAGCACUGCCACCCUUUCACUGCUGUCAGCAUCCCCCACACCAUCAAUGCCCCUAUUGAGCCGAGGGCGAGUUGGGAGGCAGAGCUUGGCUCUACAGCAAAACUUGUAUGUCUUAAUUAACUUUUUUUUUUUAAAUGAACCAGCUCAAGUCAUUGAGAGGAGCUGAAAAGUGCAUAAGGAACAUUAACAUUUGAAGAUGCAUAUGUAGGAGUGCUCUUCCCAAACCCAGCCAGCUUUGUGGGCACAAUGUGAUGCUGGGGAGCGCCGUGGCCACAGCCAUUGCAGUAGGUUCUUGCCCCUUGUUCCCUGCCUUAAUACAGAAAGUGAAUGAAAUCCUUUCAUGAAGAAACAAACUACCAUUACUGGACGUGGCAGUAACAAGAGAAACGAUGAGCUGAGUCUGCCCAGGUGCCACAGGUCCUCUCUUUGCCCUCGGGGCGGGAUGAAGGGACACAGGGUCGGACCUGCCUCGGCAGGGCCCUGCAGCAGCCGCACCAACAAAGGCUCAUUGAAGGCAAGCCAGGCUCCCGCAGAGGUUGGCACUGGAGUCAGCCAGCUACAGGAGACCCUCAGGUUAAUGAUGGCAGGCUGGCCCGAUCUGGGAUGCCGCUGAAAAGCAAGCACGGCCACAGGAGGACUUGGUGGUUGGGCUGCAAACUCUGCUUUUGUUCAUGCUGGGGGGCAAGCGGGCAGCGCCGCGGUCAGACGCAGCGGGACACAGGCUGCUGCCUGCUCUCCUCAGCACAGCAACGAGACCUUCACAAGAGCAUCUCCAGACCCCAUUGGGAGUUUUGUUUGUGCAAAUGAAAAAUCUGCCUUGGACAGCACAGAGAACUUCUGACAGGGUGAAGUGAUGAUUUAUGUGUUUUGCUUAAUUAUUUGUUUUCCUUUCAUCUGCUUGGCAGCCAAUACUGUGCAUACUUUUAGUGAUGCUGCUGCAACUGGGACAUGGUGGUGGUGUUGGGAAUCCAGCUCAGCUGGGCUAAGCAUCCUCAGCCUGCUUGAGCAUUUACUACACCACUGGUCAAGCUCAGAGGCAGUUGAUGGCCUUGCAACCCAGAUCCAUAAAUCAUAUCUUUUGUGCUGACCAUGUUUUGCCUACACAUGUGGCCAGGGCUGCUGGCCACAAACCACAGAGAUGGUGAGCCAGGCACUGCAGGGAAAUGCUGUGCUGGCCAAACCAGCAGCAAAGAAACUUCCAGUUCCAGCUUGACCACAUCUCUGCUCACGGUGAUACCACUUCUUAGAAAGCUGCAGGCUGCAGUCGGCUCUCAGGAGGGUUACUCCCACAUGGAACACCAACCACCUGGGUUUUUGGCUGAGGAGGAGCUCUUGGUACCUUAUGGGCUGGUGCAGCCCCUCUUGAUCUGUGCUGUCAUAUCUGAUGUGUUGAAACAGUGGAGGGCAAUGCCACUGCCCCUUUUCCCUCAUUCAGCUCAGCAUCCAUGUCCAGAAUUUGCCGAGUCUAUCAUACAGCCAAAGUUCUGGGUUUGAUACAAGUCUGUAGACUGAUAAAUAUCUGUCUUAUCUUUUUUUUUAUGUGCUAGGCAAUAAAAUAAUGGUUUCUUUUG